GCGCUUACCUGGCAGGGGACCUCGUGACGGUGAGGUGGUGGCUUUUCCAGGAUGAGGCUCAUCCAGUGCGCUCUGCAUGUGCUGACCCAUGUGGUUUUCCCCAGUGUGGGAAACUUGACCUUGUAAUUUGUGGCAAUGGGAGACUGUGUUUGUGCUCUCCCCUG